CACACCGCCCGUCACACCAUGGAAGUUGGUUGCACCAGAAGUCGGUAGCUUAACCGCAAGGAGAGCGCCGCCCACGGUGUGGUCAAUGACUGGGGUG
rnacentral:rRNA from 1 species